ACUCCUACGGGAGGCAGCAGUGGGGAAUUUUGCGCAAUGGGGGAAACCCUGACGCAGCAACGCCGCGUGAGUGAUGAAGGCCUUUGGGUCGUAAAGCUCUGUCAGGGGGAAAGAAGUGUAUUGUGGCUAAUAUCCACGAUACUUGACGGUACCCCCAAAGGAAGCACCGGCUAACUCCGUGCCAGCAGCCGCGGUAAUACGGAGGGUGCAAGCGUUGUUCGGAAUUAUUGGGCGUAAAGCGCGUGUAGGCGGUUUGCUAAGUCUGAUGUGAAAGCCCCGGGCUCAACCCGGGAAGUGCAUUGGAAACUGGCAGACUUGAAUACGGGAGAGGGUAGUGGAAUUCCUAGUGUAGGAGUGAAAUCCGUAGAUAUUAGGAGGAACACCGGUGGCGAAGGCGGCUGCCUGGACCGAUAUUGACGCUGAGACGCGAAAGCGUGGGUAGCAAACAGGAUUAGAUACCCUGGUAGUCCACGCCGUAAACGAUGAGAACUAGGUGUCGCGGGUAA
rnacentral:rRNA from 1 species